rnacentral:tRNA from 1 species
UUUUAUCUAAUUUAAAAUAAAAUAAUUACUUGUCAAGUAAAAUAUGCCUUUAUAAUGCGAUAUUAG